rnacentral:misc_RNA from 1 species
UCUCCGUAGGUGAACCUGCGGAGGGAUCAUUACAGAGUUCAUGCCCUACCGGGUCGAUCUCCCACCCUAUGUUAUUAUUACUUUGUUGCUUUGGCGGGCCGUUAGGCUCCGGCCCGACUACCGGCCCCGGCUGGUAAGCGCCCGCCAGAGGACCCAAAACCCUGAAUAUUAGUGUCGUCUGAGUACUAUAUAAUAGUUAAAACUUACAACAACGGAUCUCUUGGUUCUG